GCCAAGGCUAGAGUCACACCUUGGCACUUGGUCUUGUAGCCAUGGUGUGCUACAGCUUCUUGGAUAGUGACAUCUGAGCUUAUUCACUGACUGAAUUUUUGUGGUGCAGCCAGUCACCAGCUCAGAUACAUUU